GACGAACGCUGGCGGCGUGCUUAACACAUGCAAGUCGAGCGGAGAGGCCAACGGGUGAGUAACGCGUGAGUAACUGCCCCCCUCUCUGGGAUAACAGUUGGAAACGGCUGCUAAUACCGGAUAGUGGGGGUUGACUCGCGUCCUAUCAGCUUGUUGUGGGGGUAGUGGCCUACCGAGGCGACGACGGGUAGCCGGCCUGAGAGGGCGACCGGCCACAUUGGGCGGAGAUACGGGCCAAACUCCUACGGGAGGCAGCAGUGGGGAAUAUUGCACAAUGGGGGAAACCCUGAUGCAGCAACGCGCGUGCGGGAUGACGGCCGUCGGGUUGUAAACCGCUUGCAGCUAUGACGCGGUAGUGGCAGAAGAAGCACCGGCUAACUACGUGCGAGCGGCCGCGGUAAUUC
rnacentral:rRNA from 1 species